UCCUCAUAAUGAAAUUCCUGCUCACAUUUGUCGUCAGGCUGGUCUUGUCAAGAGGUUGGAGAAAGGAAAGCAUGCAGAGGGUGGUUGUGAAGAUGAAAAUUUUGCUAUUAUGUUUGCUGCUAUGGGAGUGAACAUGGAAACAAACCCAAUUCUUCAAACUUGAUUUUGAAGAGAAUGGUUCCAUGGAGAGGGUCACCCUCUUCCUGAACUUGGUAUUUACAUUCUGUUUGUUAAACAGACUUUCCUGCAGCAAGACAAGAAAUGUUACUGCUCAAAUAAUUGCUUAUGCUGCUACAAUUUAUGUAAUAAUGUUUUAGCCGUCUCCUAAACAAGAUUUGACUUGGUCAAUGUCAAAGAGAAUAUAAUUUAACACCCUGCUCCUGUUUGUCUUUUAGGCAAAUGAUCACACGAUCAAACGUAUCAUCACCCCUUGAAUUUCCCUAACAACAGCGGAAUAUUUGGCAUAUGAAUGUGGGAAGCACGUUCUUGUCAUCUUGACAUAUAAGAGUUCAUAUGCAGAUGCACUUCAUGAGAUUUGCUAAUUUGCGCUGGCGGCCAGUUGGACAACUGUGGCUGCUCAAUGACCAUCAAUCAUCAGGAGGAACAGACAACAUUUAGCUUCCGGGAUCUCUGUUUCAAAUGACUCGAUGCGGCCUUGGCGAUGGUCCUGCUAGAGAGUUCGUCGAUGGCAGCAGCAAGCAGUCCCAAGGCAUAGGUAAGCUCCUUUGUUUGAUAUAUUUUAGCUUCGUCCAGCAGGAUGGGCAACCGUCUUCUUCUCUUCAAUUAAUCAUAUCUAUCUGUGUAGGUUUCACUGGAUUUAAUUUUAGUUUUGUCUGCAUUGAGUUGUUUGUUGUUUGAUUAUUUUAUCAAGUGGAACCUGGCUUCUCAUGGACCUCCCAGCAUUUACCUAAGCAAUGGUUACUAUACUAUACACAUCAACUACAGUUGCGGAGAUCUGAACUACAAAUUGCCCUAUGGUGUAUUAACUCUGAAAUAUCAUGCACAAUCAUGUACAUUAAAUGUUUGAAUAAGUAGGAUGUUCAUGCUUAACAUAGUUUACUGCAGCAAAUACUUUGUAUGUGCUUCCAAAGUUCUCUUGCUUGCCGGCCGCUUCUGUUGCAUCAUUCUGGCAACCUGAGAGUAAACUGCUGGAGGUGAUAUAACGUUCUCCCUUCCAUUGCAUGGUUUGCUGCCAAUGCUCACUAUUCUUUUGCAUUUCUUCUAUGGCUAAAAGUCGUCCAACAAUUUUCAUAUGUACCUGCUUCUUCUGCAGAUGUUAUUGCAUUAGCGAACUGCUCGUCUAUAAUUUUUUCUCUGCGAAAUAAAUACACAUGCAUAAUUUUUAUUUUAUCAUCUGCAAUUCUGGUUUAUUUUAUAGUCUUGGUUGAGGUCCACUUUAUUAGCCAAGAAAUUAUCUAUUUAUUUGAUUUGCCUAAAUAGACAGUAAGGUCUACUAUUUUUAUUUUAUUGGAGCCAUAGUUUGAUUGAACCAUACUGAAGUUACAAGUAAUUUCUGUUUUUACAUCUGUAUAUUUGAUUUGCUUCAUGUUCUUGAUUGAGACAAGUGAGGAGGAACAUCGACUAUUUUGCUAGGCAAUCACAUCUAAGACAAAACAUCCACGGUUGUUGUAUGAGUAAAAGCUAUACAAAAUACUUUUAAGGAGGAAGCAAUAUAUGUGUUUUCUUUUCGCUUCCUUGCUCUUGCUUAGUCCAGUCUAUUUUAUUCACAAAGGAAUCAACUGAUAUUCUCUUUUCUUCGGCAGCCGGAAUUCGAAAUUUCAAGUGCUUUGAUGUAGAUAGUGAUUACAAUGUGGCCAGGCCUUGAGGAUUUUUUCAGGUUUUGUAACAGGAAGUUAUCUCUAAAAACUAUUUUUCAUGGUUGCUAUCAAAUGGUAUGUUAAUAUUCCCUUGGCUUCAUUACUUUGGUCCAGCUUUGUUUUUGUUAGAUCAAUCAUGUUGAGUUCGCGCAUUCUGUUGAUCUAACACGAUGAAAGUAUAGAGAUACGUUGACACACCAGCACAUUCCAUAGUCAUACAUGUUAAUGUUUGUAUCCCUUAUUGAUAUACUUGACCGUUCCGAAUUACCGAUAGUCAUACAAGUUAAUAUUAUUAUCCCUUAUUGAUAUACUCGACUGUUCAGAAUUACCGCUAAUCUUCAGCGGUUACCAAAUAAUUGGAGAAUCUGGAUCUUGGUGCUUGAUUUUGGCAUCUAUGGUACAUGGCUUGAUAUGUUUUUCUCGGUUCUACUUUAUGGUACAUGGCUUGAUGAAGGCAAUUCUACUUUAUGGUACAUGGCUUGAUAUGUUUUUCUCGAUUCUGUUUGUAACUGAUUUGUACUCCUCCAUAUCCACCAUGUUUGACAUAUUAAUUCUGUAAUUCUAUAAUCAUGCAUUAAGAAUGGCAAGUGUAUCAUUAGUGUUGCUUCUACUGGUACAUAUUGUCAUAUUAGUUGAGUUAUCAACUGCUGCUAUCAUAUGCUUAGUAAAGUCCCUACCAUUGAAUGCUAAUUUAAAUACAAUAACUCACCCACUGAUGAUGCCAUUGAGCCCUGUUCGUACUAAAAAUUGUUAUUUUCUCGCUCUAGGUGUCAGUUAACUAAAUCGACAACAAUCAGAGUUUAAAGUCCUCCUUGUCGCAACCGGCAGUGUCCGGUCCUGGCUGAAGGUAGGAGCUGCUUUAUGCAUUGUUCAUGUUGUGUUCUUUACCUUUUUUGUGAGUUUUGCACAAAAGUUUCUCCAGUUACAGGCUUAAAAGGAUCGGUUUGCAUGGAACAAUGUUCAGAACCUAAUAUAACUAAAUGUCAGUUGCCUGCUCAGUACACUCUUUCAAAGUUGUGAGCGGAUAAAUUGUGGUUAUAGAGAGUAGAGUUUGAUUCAUUGCCUGAUGAAGGAAGGUAGGAUCGAAGUGCUUUUUCAGCUAUGGUAAUCGCCAUGGUUUUCUUUUUGGCUUCUUAUGCAUAAGAUCUAAUUUUAGUUUUAAGUGUUACCCAAACAGAGGAGUAUUUAUAUUUGCAGCAGCACUUUGUGGAUCAUAACGGGCAAAUAUUUUUGUAGAAGAUAAGUCAGGUUUAGAACCUUUGAGUACGACAACUAAAAACUAAAAGUAAAUCCAUUGUAUAUAUUCAAGAGUGGUUAUAGCUCUUUUAUGAUUAGUUUCAAAUACCUAUGACUUUUUAAGCUGCACUUUUAAUAAGAAGUCACUGUUUUGUAAGAAAGUAUUUUGAUGGAAUUAUGUAUAUGGCUACUUGGAAGUCACUGUUUUGUAAGAAAGUAUUUUGAUGGAAUUAUGUAUAUGGCUACUUGGUUCUGAUGUUUUCUGGAAUUGUGCAGACUUGGUAGUCACAAUGGAGUUCUGAGACAGGAAUCUUGAUCAUUUCUAACAAAUGAUAAUAGUAUGUUGUAUCACUUUAGUUGAUUCAGAUUUCAACCAUACUCUGUUUUGCUUUCUGCAAGGCCAGGAUUGUACCAUUCUUUUAGGAAGACAAGGUCUUCUCUCUUGUUGUUUGGAUGCACUGUGCACUUAUACAUGAGCAGUAUUAAUCAGUACUCUCCACUUUGUUAAGACCUGCUUGGUAUAAGUUAUUGGAAAU